rnacentral:rRNA from 1 species
CAGUAGCCGCGGUAAUACGUAGGUGGCAAGCGUUGUCCGGAAUUAUUGGGCGUAAAGGGCUCGCAGGCGGUUUCUUAAGUCUGAUGUGAAAGCCCCCGGCUCAACCGGGGAGGGUCAUUGGAAACUGGGAAACUUGAGUGCAGAAGAGGAGAGUGGAAUUCCACGUGUAGCGGUGAAAUGCGUAGAGAUGCGGAGGAACACCAGUGGCGAAGGCGACUCUCUGGUCUGUAACUGACGCUGAGGAGCGAAAGCGUGGGGAGCGAACAGGAUUAGAUACCCCGGUAGUCCCUGUCUCUUAUAC